UGGGGGAAUAUUGCACAAUGGGCGCAAGCCUGAUGCAGCCAUGCCGCGUGUGUGAAGAAGGCCUUCGGGUUGUAAAGCACUUUCAGCGAGGAGGAAGGUGGUGAACUUAAUACGUUCAUCAAUUGACGUUACUCGCAGAAGAAGCACCGGCUAACUCCGUGCCAGCAGCCGCGGUAAUACGGGAGGGUGCAAGCGUUAAUCGGAAUUACUGGGCGUAAAGCGCACGCAGGCGGUUUGUUAAGUCAGAUGUGAAAUCCCCGGGCUCAACUGGGAACUGCAUUUGAAACUGGCAAGCUAGAGUCUCGUAGAGGGGGGUAGAAUUCCAGGUGUAGCGGUGAAAUGCGUAGAGAUCUGGAGGAAUACCGGUGGCGAAGCGCCCCCUGGANGAAGACUGACGC
rnacentral:rRNA from 1 species